CUCAUUCCAUCUUAUAGAGAAUCUUGGAUAACUGAUUGGUGAUUUCAUGUGUUUCUAAAUUGGCAUGACUGACUUUAAGUUAUGUCCUUCCAAAAAAAGGACUUACAACAAGAUUCCUUGUUUGCUAACCCGUUGGCUGCUACCCUUGAAUCUCCCUAUUUGUCAACAACAAAAAAAGAGGUUACAUAUUGUGAUCAUGCCGAUCAUCAUUAUGUUGCCUAUAAGACCAAAUGUGGGGCAUCUGGUUAUCCCUCCAUAAUAAGGUAAUGACCACACGUUCAACGCGGAUCAUUCGCUUUGUCAUCGAACUUGACUCAUUCCAUCUUCUGGAUUUCUUAGGAAAGCUGAUUGGUGUUACCUGUCCAUUUAGGUAAUGACCGAGAAGAAUAACCUACAUGAACAUCAUUUAGGCGGCCAGCAUC